UUUAUUUAUUGUCUUGUUUUAAUUUAUUAGUAUUAUAUUUAAUAUAAUUUUUGUUGAAGAAUCAUUUUAGUUUUUGUAAAUUUUUGAUUUAAUUUUUUUAACGAUAGUUUAUUUGUACCGUGAGGGGUUGAUUUUUAUUGUUUUUUUGGAAGUAGAUUUUGUUUUUCGUACCUUGUGUAUCAGGGUUCAUUGAAUUUUAUUAUUUAUUUUUAUUUCCCGAUUUAUAAGGAGUUAAUAAUUUGUUUUAUUUACUGUUUCAUUAGUAUUAAUAACAUAUUGUUGGUAGUGAAAUGUUAUUCGUCUUUUAUGGUUUCUGGUUUCUUGAGAAAUGAAUUUAAUUCAUGUAUUUUAUUUAAUUUCUGUAGUUGUUUACAUUUAAUUUUUUAUUUUAUGCUAAAAUUAAGGGGGAUUAGCUCCUUGUUUUAUUAUUAUAAUUUAUUUAAUUAAUUUAGUUUUGUGGAUUUUAUAUUGAUUUUCAAUUUGAUUAUGUUANNNNNNNNNNNNNNNNNNNNAAUGGCUUGACGAGGUAUAAUCUGUCUUAAUUGUAUUGUUGAUUGAAUUUAGUUUUUGAGUUAAAAUUCUUAGAUGUUUUUAUGGGACGAGAAGACCCUAUAGAGUUUUACAUUUAUUUCUGCGUUAUUUUAGUUGUUUGUUUUUAUUGUAAGGUAGGUUAAGUGUUUUGUUGGGGUGAUGGGAGGAAUUUUUUUAACUCCUCUUUGUUUUUAUAUACUUAUUUGUGUUUUUUUGAUCCAUUUGUUUUGAUUAUAAGAUUAAAUUACCUUAGGGAUAACAGCGUUAUCUUCCUUGAGAGUUCUUAUUGGCGGGAAGGUUUGCGACCUCGAUGUUGGAUUAAGAUUAAUUUUCGGUGCAGAAGUUGAAAUUGAUUAGGUCUGUUCGACCUUUAAAAUCUUACAUGAUCUGAGUUCAGACCGGCGUGAGCCAGGUUGGUUUCUAUCUAUAAAUUUUUGUUAUAUCUUAGUACGAGAGGACCGGGUAUUUGGAAUAAUUUUAUUGUUGUUGGAUAUUGUUAAUAUGUUUA
rnacentral:rRNA from 1 species